rnacentral:rRNA from 1 species
GACGAGGGGUCCAAGCGUUGUUCGGAAUCAUUGGGCGUAAAGCGGGUGUAGGUGGCUCUAUAAGUCAGGAGUGAAAGCCCCAAGCUUAACUUGGGAAGUGCUUUUGAUACUGCAGAGCUUGAGUGUGGGAGAGGAUCGUGGAAUUCCAGGUGUAGUGGUGAAAUACGUAGAUAUCAGGAGGAACACCUGUGGCGAAAGCGGCGCACUGGACCACAACUGACGCUGAGGCGCGAAAGCUAGGGGAGCAAACAGG